AAGCCUAGAGUCAAGCUUAAGUGUUGCUUGUUGCCUUAGCUUGCUAGAGUCCUCGAAGAAUAACUGCUGACCUUAUUCACUGGCACAGUCGGUCACCAGGUUAAAGACACAU